UUUAAUUUCUCAGGUGCUGGGCUGGAGCCUUCCUUGAAAAAACCAGGUGUCCCUGUCUAUGCUGUAGUCCUCAUCAUUAUGUUUCUCCUUGCUGUAAUUGCUGUCCCCACCUCUCUUUGGCUGCCCAAAGCGCUUGCUCGGCGUGGCAAAAUUACAAUCCACAGAGGGUCUGACGCAGCAGUGGAUGUAGAAGCCUUUGAGCUGGAUAAUCCAGGAUAUCAAACAACUGUUGAAGAGGGAAAGACGAAGGAUUCCUGCCUUGAAUACCAGAAUGCCUGAACCAGUACAAAAAUGCAACCAUUUCUCUUUGUCAAUGCCACAAUGCAUCACCGGACAAUUUAUUAGAUUGAACUCCCCAAGUUUUAUUCUGUGAAAAACUCCCUUAAAACCAGACGUGUCAAAGGUUUUUUUUUGUGUGUGUGCUAGGUUUUGUUUUUUUGUGCUAGGACCUUUUAAGGAAAGGCAGCUGGGAUGCAAAGC